AUCCGUCGAUUUUUGAAAUCCUGAGGGUUCAAGUCCCUCU
rnacentral:tRNA from 1 species